GUCUCAGAGCGGUGGGCGGGCCCUCAAGAUGAGGCUGGGGGAGAGCCGGGAGGCAGCAGGGAAACAUUCCCACCUGGGAAGGAGCUGAGAGGUGGCCCUGCGGGGACGGCCUCUGCUGGCCCCACUGUCCCUCCUCGCCGUGGACAGCACCCACCCGCCACGAAGGCCCCAGCGUGCGAGAUGAGGUGUUUUCUGCACCCAGGGUUGAGUCAGCAUGAGGAGCAGUGCUGAGCCCCGCUCCCUGCCCCAGGAGAGCCCUGCCCAGGUGCAGGACGAGCGGGGCAGGUGGGACACAUCAGCCCCCUCCCCACUCGCGGCUGCCAGGACACGGGGUGCCACGUCACAGCACAUCUCACCAGUCACAAAGUCACACGGGGUAAUUUACUGAUCCAGCAAAUUCAAGGAAGGCAGUGGAUCAGGCACUCCGCAGCCACCAAGGCCACCAGACUUCUUGGGGCCUCUGACCCAGUGCCGCCCAUCUUCCCGCCACUCCCGACACGGCUCUCGUGACACCCACCUGGUGGCUCCAGCCACCUGGACCCCUACAGCUCCAGGAACUUGUACCCAUCCUCCUCGAGGUCAGAGGCCAGAAGUGGGACGCGCAGGGCCCGGCCGCUGGCAGCUGUGCCCCACCCGUGCUCGGCACCGUCCGGUCCUCGUGGAGUUGAGCCUGCAGGUGUGGACCCGGGAUCCGGGGCUGACGGUCAGUCCUGCUCCAUCCACGGCUGGUCCGGCUUCCUGCUGCUCACCGGGCACCGCCGGGGCUCUGUGUGCGCAGGCAGGACGGCGGGGCCGGGAAACACAGCCGUGUGGAAGCAGGGUGCUGCAAAGUGUGGGCCAUGGCUGAGAAGGCAGGACCGGGACUUCUGUAUCCCCCUCCCCCGCCCCACCCCUCCACGGGGCUUGGCAGGUGCAUGGCAGCAGCACAGCAGGGGGCAGCCCCCGUGUGUGCUCCCGGCUGCGGGCUCUGUAGCACUUGCCUCGCACAGCCAGCUGCGCCGGGAGCAGCGUCACGAGGCCUCACCACCGACUCCCGCCGGCUGGGCCUGGACCCUGGUGAAGCUCAGCAGGCUGCCUGAGGACGGCAGUUUCUCUCCAAGAAUGACGGCCUGCGUCCGAACGCCUUUAACCAUGUCCCUGC